AAAGAUCGCAGCCUGCGGCAGCUCCUACAGGAUUGCGGCGUACCGUGUAGGCGCUGCCGCAGGCUGCGAUCUUU
rnacentral:misc_RNA from 1 species